rnacentral:snoRNA from 1 species
AUCUGAUUCGAAAGUGCUGCGUCUCUCUAACCGCGAUGACGAGUCGCGACGCUUCCCUCUGAGCGCGAAUCGGAUGGAGAGUAAUGAGUCAAAUCAUCCGCUCUUCAUCAUUGAUGACCGUUCCUGCUGUGUCUCACAGCCAGGAGGAGGGAGGUGUGAGCAGAGCGGC